rnacentral:rRNA from 1 species
GAAGCAGCCAUCCUUUAAAGAAAGCGUAAUAGCUCACUAGUCGAGUCGGCCUGCGUGGAAGAUAUAACGGGGCUAAAUCAUAAACCGAAGCUACAGAUCUUAAAUUUAUUUAAGAUGGUAGAAGAGCGUUCUGUAAGCGGUUGAAGGUAAGCUGAAAGGCGAGCUGGACGUAUCAGAAGUGCGAAUGUUGACAUGAGUAACGAUCAAAGAGGUGAAAAACCUCUUCGCCGAAAAACCAAGGGUUCCUGUCCAACGCUAAUCGAGGCAGGGUGAGGCGGCCCCUAAGGCGAGGGCGAAAGCCGUAGUCGAUGGGAAACAGGUUAAUAUUCCUGUACUUUUUAUAACUGCGAUGGGGUGACGGAGAAGGUUAGACUAGCACGGCGACGGUUGUCCGUGUUCAAGGUUGUAGGCUGGUGUUCUAGGUAAAUCCGGAACGCUAAGGCUGAGGACUGAUAACGACCACUCUACGAGUGGGAAGUAGUCGAUACCAUGCUUCCAGGAAAAACCUCUAAGCUUCAGGUUAUAAGAAACCGUACCCUAAACCGACACAGGUGGUUAGGUCGAGUAGACCAAGGUGUUUGAGAGAACUAUGGUGAAGGAACUAGGCAAAAUAGCACCGUAACUUCGGGAGAAGGUGCGCCGCGUUUGGUGAUGAGACUUGCUCUCUAAGCUGAACGUGGUCGAAGAUACCAGGUGGCUGCGACUGUUUACUAAAAACAUAGCACUCUGCAAACUCGUAAGAGGAAGUAUAGGGUGUGACGCCUGCCCGGUGCCGGAAGGUUAAUUGAUGGGGUUAGCUUAUGCGAAGCUCUUGAUCGAAGCCCCGGUAAACGGCGGCCGUAACUAUAACGGUCCUAAGGUAGCGAAAUUCCUUGUCGGGUAAGUUCCGACCUGCACGAAUGGCGUAACGAUGGCCACACUGUCUCCACCAUAGACUCAGUGAAAUUGAAAUCGCUGUUAAGAUGCAGUGUACCCGCAGCUAGACGGAAAGACCCCGUGCACCUUUACUAUAGGUUCACACUGGACUUUGAUUUUAUUUGUGUAGGAUAGGUGGGAGACUUUGAAGCUGAGACGCUAGUCUUAGUGGAGUCGUCCUUGAAAUACCACCCUUGUAAAAUUGAGGUUCUAACCUAGGUCCAUUAUCUGGAUCGGGGGCAGUGUGUGGUGGGUAGUUUGACUGGGGCGGUCUCCUCCCAAAGAGUAACGGAGGAGCACGAAGGUGCGCUAAUCAUGGUCGGAAAUCAUGAGGUUAGUGUAAAGGCACAAGCGCGCUUGACUGAGAGUCUGACAAGACGAUCAGGUACGAAAGUAGGUCUUAGUGAUCCGGUGGUUCUGUAUGGAAGGGCCAUCGCUCAACGGAUAAAAGGUACUCCGGGGAUAACAGGCUGAUACCGCCCAAGAGUUCA